ACGCUCGACACCUACGGGAGCAGCAGUGAGGAAUAUUGGUCAAUGGGCGCUAGCCUGAACCAGCCAAGUAGCGUGAAGGAUGAAGGCUCUAUGGGUCGUAAACUUCUUUUAUAUAAGAAUAAAGUGCAGUAUGUAUACUGUUUUGUAUGUAUUAUAUGAAUAAGGAUCGGCUAACUCCGUGCCAGCAGCCGCGGUAAUCUGGAGCGGGCUGGCAAGGC
rnacentral:rRNA from 1 species